rnacentral:rRNA from 1 species
AUUGAACGCUGGCGGCAGGCCUAACACAUGCAAGUCGAACGAGUGGCGGACGGGUGAGUAAUGUCUGGGAAACUGCCCGAUGGAGGGGGAUAACUACUGGAAACGGUAGCUAAAACCGCAUACCAUAGGAUGUGCCCAGAUGGGAUUAGCUAGUAGGUGGGGUACCGGCUCACCUAGGCGAAGAUCCCUAGCUGGUCUGAGAGGCUGACCAGCCACACUGGAACGGGGACACGGUCCAGACUCCUACGGGAGGCAGCAGUGGGGAAUAUUGCACAAUGGGCGCAAGCCUGAUGCAGCCAUGCCGCGUGUAUGAAGAAGGCCUUCUGGUUGGAAAGUACGUUCAGCGAGGAGGCGUUACUCGCAGAAGAAGCACCGGCUAACUCCGUGCCAGCCGCCGCGGUAAUAC